UACAGAGGUCUCAAGCGUUGUUCGGAUUCAUUGGGCGUAAAGGGUGCGUAGGUGGCGCUGUAAGUCAGGUGUGAAAUUUCGGAGCUUAACUCCGAAACUGCAUUUGAUACUGCGGUGCUUGAGGACUGGAGAGGAGACUGGAAUUUACGGUGUAGCAGUGAAAUGCGUAGAGAUCGUAAGGAAGACCAGUGGCGAAGGCGGGUCUCUGGACAGUUCCUGACAGCUGAGGCACGGAAGGCCAGGGGAGCAAACGGG
rnacentral:rRNA from 1 species